rnacentral:rRNA from 1 species
CCUACGGGUGGCAGCAGUGGGGAAUAUUGGACAAUGGGGGGAACCCUGACCCAGCGACGCCGCGUGAGUGAAGAAGUAUUUCGGUAUGUAAAGCUCUAUCAGCAGGGAAGAAAAUGACGGUACCUGACUGAGAAGCCCAGGCUAACUACGUGCCAGCAGCCGCGGUAAUACGUCGGGGGCAAGCGUUAUCCGGAUUUACUGGGUGUAACGGGAGCGUAGACGGUGUAGCAAGGCUGAUGUGAAAGGGCAGGGGCCAACCCCGUGACAGCAGUAGAAACUGUCGACCUUGAGUUCAGGAGAGGUAAGCGGAAUUCCUAGUGUAGCGGUGAAAUGCGUAGAUAUUAGGAGGAACACCAGUGGCGAAGGCGGCUUGCUGGGCUGUAACUGACGUUGAGGCUCGAAAGCGUGGGGAGCAAACAGGAUUAGAUACCCCAGUAGUC